rnacentral:lncRNA from 1 species
ACUGAAGGCUUAAUUCAGCUACCUUAUCUCUCUAGGUAUGUGGAGACCAGAGCCAAGGGGCUGUUUUCCUGCGGGAAUUUACACUGAUUCGAAGAGAGAGCCUUAAUGAAGAUUUCCUGUCUGACCUCUUGAAUAGUCACAAAACCGAAGAUCCGGCCCUUUUCGAUUCUUCAGCCUCAAUCUUCUCCAUUCCUUUGCACCCCGAAUCUGAUGCUGUCUUAAGAACAUUUGGCACCCAUCAUCUUCGAGUCCUCCAGGUGAAUACCAGCUGCAGACCAAUCCCAAUGCCUCAGGAGCUGUGACAAAGCAGAGGGAGAGGAAUUGAUCUUUCCCUCCACCCUUGAAAGAACCCUUAUCUGGAAACAGCCACUGAACUCUAAUAGGACUUGAAGAAAAGCCCAUGUGGGCAGCACGUGGCUCGUCCAGCCCAACUCCUUUGUCCCCCACGGUGUGCAAGAAUAUUCAAAAAUUCACUGGGUCUUCCCUUGUUUUCUCUAGAUCAUCCAGUUCUCUUCCUGGCUGAAAUCAUGCAAAGGGAAUGCACUUGAGUGGGUGGAAAUAACCUGGGGAGAAAAGAUAAUGUUCUUAUGUUUGACUUAAAUAAUGAAAUACUCCUUGAGCUUGAAGUGGAUAAACUCAUUUUAGAACUUGACCCUCAGUCUACCCCUUGACCUAACUCAAUUAGACUUUGUUCAUAUAAGUGGUUCUAAUUCAAACAUAAUAGAGACAGAAUUUCAGCUCAUCAAGAGAUUGUUAUUUGAUUUUUCCAUUCUCCUUUUCC